AGUUCUCUUACGUGAACAACACCUACGAGAUUUCGGACAUUAGGGCUAGAUGGGUAGAGGCCAAGAAUGACUGUAGCUCAAGAGGAUUGCGUCUGGUGAGCAUUGAAAGCGCCGAGGAAUACUACGCAAUUCUGGAUAACAUCAUUCCGGCGAGACCUAAUGAACACAUCUGGACCUCAGGCACUGAUCUUGGUCAAGAGGGUGAAUUUUACUGGGAAGGUACAGGCGCCUUGUUUGGAACCUUCACGAAAUGGGCCGAGGGUGAGCCAAGCAAUGAUGCAGGUGAUGAAGAGCACUGCGUUCAGCUGUGGCACACAUAUAACUAUGAAUAUAACGAUGAAAAUUGUAAAAGUGCAUUCUACUACAUUUGCGAGGGACACCCUUGCGCAGCUGAGAAAU